rnacentral:hammerhead_ribozyme from 1 species
GCACUGCUGACGAGUCUCAAACAGGACGAAACAGCUGCCCAGUGC